rnacentral:rRNA from 1 species
GACAGAGGGUGCAAACGUUGCUCGGAAUUACUGGGCGUAAAGCGCGUGUAGGCGGACCGUUAAGUCAGGCGUGAAAGCCCUGGGCUCAACCCAGGAACUGCACCUGAAACUGGCAGUCUUGAGUGGUGGAGAGGGAAGUGGAAUUCCUGGUGUAGAGGUGAAAUUCGUAGAUAUCAGGAGGAACACCAGUGGCGAAGGCGGCUUCCUGGACACCAACUGACGCUGAGACGCGAAAGCGUGGGGAGCAAACAGG